rnacentral:rRNA from 1 species
GACAGAGGUGCCGAGCGUUAGGCGGAAUCACUGGGCUUAAAGCGUGUGUAGGCGGGUCCGUAAGUACCUUGUGAAAUCCCACGGCUCAACCGUGGAACUGCUUGGUAUACUGCGGGUCUUGAGCCACUUAGGGGCAAGCGGAACAAACGGUGGAGCGGUGAAAUGCGUAGAGAUCGGAAAGAACACCAACGGCGAAAGCACUCUGCUGGGCCGACACUGACACUGAGAGACGAAAGCUAGGGGAGCGAAUGGG